rnacentral:rRNA from 1 species
UCAGGAUGAACGCUAGCGGUGUGUUAACACAUGCAAGUCGAGCGCCCCCACUUUGCCCAUGAGAUUCGUGGUCAGGGUGGGGGAGCGGCAGACGAGAGAGUAAUACGUUGGAACCUACCCCAGACUCAGGGAUAACCGUUCGAAAGAGCGGCUAAUACCGGAUAGUCUCGUAAGAGUAAAGCUUUUGCGGUCUGGGAGGGGCCUGCGGCCUAUCAGCUAGUUGGUAAGGUAAUGGCUUACCAAGGCGAUGACGGGUAGCUGAUGUGAGAGCAUGAUCAGCCUCGAUGGGACUGCGACACGGCCCAUACUCCUACGGGAGGCAGCAGUGAAGAAUCUUCCGCAAUGGACGAAAGUCUGACGGAGCAACACCGCGUGGUGGAUGACGGCCUUCGGGUUGUAAACACCUUUUCUGAGGGAAUAAGUUCUGAAGGUACCUCAGGAAUAAGUGGCUGCUAACUACGUGCCAGCAGCAGCGGUAAUACGUAGGCCACAAGCGUUAUCCGGAAUCAUUGGGCGUAAAGCGUCCGCAGGCGGCCAAAUAAGUCUGGUGUAAAAUUUCAGUGCUCAACACUGAAAGUGUAUCGGAAACUGUUUGGCUAGAGUCUGAGAGAGGCCAUUGGAAUUUCUGUUGUAGGGGUAAAAUCCGUAGAUAACAGAAGGAACACCAAAAGCGAAGGCAGAUGGCUGGCUCAGUACUGACGCUCAGGGACGAAAGCGUGGGUAGCGAACGGGACUAGAUACCCCGGUAGUCCACGCUGUAAACGAUGAGUGCUAGGUGUGGGAAGGGCUCGACCCCUUUCUGUGUCCACAGCUAACGCGUUAAGCACUCCGCCUGGGGAGUACGGUCGCAAGACUAAAACUCAAAGGAAUAGACGGGGACCCACACAAGCGGUGGAUCAUGUGGUUUAAUUCGACGAUAAGCGGGAAACCUCACCCAGACUUGACAUCCUAAGAAAGCUCUGGAAACAGAGCCGUGCCUUUUGGAACUUAGUGACAGGCGCUGCAUGGUUGUCGUCAGCUCGUGCCCUGAGGUGUUCGGUUAAGUCCGUUAACGAGCGCAACCCUUGUUGCAUGUUGUAAUUCUCAUGCAAGACUGCCGGCCCCAAGCCGGAGGAAGGUAGGGAUGACGUCAAAUCAGCAUGGCCCUUAUGUCUGGGGCGACACACGUGAUACAAUGGGAAGUACAAAGGGUAGCCAAGGCGCAAGCCGGAGCCAAUCCCAAAAACUUUCCUCAGUUCGGAUUGAAGGCUGCAAUUCGCCUUCAUGAAGCUGGAAUCGCUAGUAACCGUAAAUCAGAAUGUUACGGUGAAUAUGUUCCUGGGUCUUGUACUCACCGCCCGUCACAUCACGGAAGAUGGGAGCGCCCGAAG